CCCCUAGACGUUCUGGGCUGCACGCGCGCUACAAUAAUACGCAAAGCGAGUAUCACCGAGCUCGAAAGGGCAAGGUAAACAAUAGAAAAGGUACUGUAAUGGUUAUAGAUCCUUGUAAUUAUUGAUCUUCAACGAGGAAUUCCUAGUAAGUAUGUGUCAUCAUCACGCACUGAUUACGUCCCUGCCCUUUGUACACACCGCCCGUCGCUCCUACCGAUUGGGUGAGCCGAUGAAACUCUCGGAUGUAGGCUAUUCAUAGCCCGCAGAAGAGAUUUGAAUCGUAGCGCUUAGAGGAAGGAGAAGUCGUAACA
rnacentral:rRNA from 1 species